UGCAAACGGAACAUACUUGAUUUCAUCAUAAUUUCAAAUUUUGACAGUGAACUUGUUUUUGGUUUCUCUGAAAUAUCAUAAAAAUUCAUCUGCUUGACAGUAAAAAUUUGCAUCUAGUUUUCAUUGUGAAACAUGCAGCUGACAAAUUGCAGAAGAAACAAACGUUACAAAAAUGCAUCCCUGAAGUGGCAAAAAAUUGAAAAGAUUUCACGGAAAGAAAACUUUUACUAAAGCACCUGUUAGGAGAGGUGGAUAUUUUAUGACAGAGUCAGGAGGGUGAAGCUUUAACAAAAGCAAUUUAGAGGAAAGAUGGUUACUUCAUAAGUUGAAGAAGUUCAUGAAUGACAUGAUCAUUAAAUGAUUGGGGUUAACAGUUGCAUCAUAAUUGGUUAUUUCAAAAGUUAGCAAGAUAUUUUUUUCGUUGCAUCAUUGCCUACUUCCACACAUGCACAUAGCCAAAAACAUUGUACUUUUGAAAGUGUUCAUAAUUUUGGCAAUGUCAUGCAAAUGCUGAAUUGUAAAUUGGGUCACCAAAGAUAAAGAAAAAUCUACUUAAAAUUUACAAUAUUUUGAUGCUAUGCUGUACCUAUGUAAGUUGUCAUUUCGAAUGCUUCUGUGGACACAUACUGGCGUUUGACUGAGGAUGUGAUCUUUCCAUGUUAUGUAUUUACUGUGGUCAUUGGUUUUAUAUUACUGACUGUUGGUGUUCUUGAAGAAUGGGGGUAUGCCUGUAUAAUUGCUACAUUCUGACAAGUUUUACUUGAUUAAAACAUGAUCAUAAUUAUAAAAUUUGAAAUUUAUCGUUGAUCAUUUGAAAUUUAUCGUUGAUUAUUUGAAAUUUAUCGUUGAUCAUUUGAAAUUUAUCGUUGAUCUUUUGGACUUCAUCGUUGAUCAUUUAAAAUUUAUCGUUGAUCAUUUGAAAUUUAUCGUUGAUCUUUUAAAAUUUAUCGUUGAUCAUUUGAAAUUUGAAGCAUUGAUUUGUAAAACAAAGAAAGAAUUUAUAUUUCAGUACCUGUA